GCGGUCAUGGCGGAAUGGCAGACGCGCCAGCUUGAGGGGCUGGUGGGGGCAACCCCGUGGAAGUUCGAGUCUUCUUGGCCGCA
rfam:Enterococcus sp. 4G2_DIV0659 scaffold00001, whole genome shotgun sequence.